rnacentral:rRNA from 1 species
AUUGAACGCUGGCGGCAGGCUUAACACAUGCAAGUCGAACGGUAACAGGCCGCAAGGUGCUGACGAGUGGCGAACGGGUGAGUAAUGCAUCGGAACGUGCCCAGUCGUGGGGGAUAACGCAGCGAAAGCUGCGCUAAUACCGCAUACGAUCUAUGGAUGAAAGCGGGGGACCGUAAGGCCUCGCGCGAUUGGAGCGGCCGAUGUCAGAUUAGGUAGUUGGUGGGGUAAAGGCUCACCAAGCCAACGAUCUGUAGCUGGUCUGAGAGGACGACCAGCCACACUGGGACUGAGACACGGCCCAGUCUCCUACGGGAGGCAGCAGUGGGGAAUUUUGGACAAUGGGCGCAAGCCUGAUCCAGCAAUGCCGCGUGCAGGAAGAGGGCCUUCGGGUUGUAAACUGCUUUUGUACGGAACGAAACGGCUCUCACUAAUACUGGGGGCUAAUGACGGUACCGUAAGAAUAAGCACCGGCUAACUACGUGCCAGCAGCCGCCGUAACAC